rnacentral:rRNA from 1 species
UACGUAGGGCGCAAGGCGUUAUCCGGAAUUAUUGGGCGUAAAGAGCUCGUAGGCGGUUUGUCGCGUCUGCCGUGAAAGUCCGGGGCUCAACUGCCGGAUCUGCGGUGGGUACGGGCAGACUAGAGUGAUGUAGGGGAGACUGGAAUUCCUGGUGUAGCGGUGAAAUGCGCAGAUAUCAGGAGGAACACCGAUGGCGAAGGCAGUCUCUGGCAUUAACUGACGCUGAGGAGCGAAAGCAUGGGGAGCGAACAGG